AAAAGAAGACUGAUGAUUGGAGCUGAUCAUUUUAACCGGGACCCAAAGAAAGGGCUAGAGUUUCUCCAAGUAACCCAUCUCUUGCCUGACAAACUUGACCCACAAAGUGUUGCUUGCUUUUUCAGGUACACUGCUGGGUUGGAUAAGAAUCUGGUUGGGGAUUUCCUGGGAAACCAUGAUGAGUUUUGUGUUCAGGUUCUUCAUGAAUUUGCUGGGACUUUUGAUUUCCAAGACAUGAAUCUGGAUACUGCAUUGCGGCUGUUCUUGGAAACUUUCCGACUGCCUGGAGAAUCACAGAAGAUACAGAGGGUCCUUGAGGCUUUCUCGGAGAGAUAUUAUGAGCAAUCACCCC
rnacentral:lncRNA from 1 species